GAUGAACGCUGGCGGCGUGCCUAAUACAUGCAAGUCGAGCGAACGGACGAGAAGCUUGCUUCUCUGAUGUUAGCGGCGGACGGGUGAGUAACACGUGGAUAACCUACCUAUAAGACUGGGAUAACUUCGGGAAACCGGAGCUAAUACCGGAUAAUAUUUUGAACCGCAUGGUUCAAAAGUGAAAGACGGUCUUGCUGUCACUUCUAGAUGGAUCCGCGCUGCAUUAGCUAGUUGGUAAGGUAACGGCUUACCAAGGCAACGAUGCAUGGCCGACCUGAGAGGGUGAUCGGCCACACUGGAACUGAGACACGGUCCAGACUCCUACGGGAGGCAGCAGUAGGGAAUCUUCCGCAAUGGGCGAAAGCCUUACGGAGCAACGCCGCGUGAGUGAUGAAGGUCUUCGGAUCGUAAAACUCUGUUAUUAGGGAAGAACAUAUGUGUAAGUAACUGUGCACAUCUUGACGGUACCUAAUCAGAAAGCCACGGCUAACUACGUG
rnacentral:rRNA from 1 species